rnacentral:lncRNA from 1 species
GGCCAUUUAUACGUGACAAAAUAAGUCGCGACUUACAUAAGACGCGACUUAAAUAAGUGGAGUUAUCGCAUAAAUGGUUCUCUACGGCUUUGGUCUUAUUUAUUUGCUAUAGCUAUGUUGUUGUUUUGGUUGUUUUUGUUUUAAUAUGCAAGGCAUUAAAUUUUACGUCCUUUCAAGUUUCUGGCAUGUGUAGUUAGACUUUUUGUCCAAAAUUUCUUAUUUAAGACGCGACUUAAAUAAGAACAGCUAAACGACCUGUUCUUAUGUAAGACGCGUCUUAUCCAAGACGCGUCUUACAUAAGAAUUUUGUACCUUUUAUACGACAAACUCGCG